UAUGAUUGAUGUCCAAGACAGAUAAUGCUC
rnacentral:piRNA from 1 species